rnacentral:miRNA from 1 species
UUUUGGGUCCCUAAACUUGUU